UUAGGUGGCCAUACCAUGUUGUCAAAGUAUGAUCUCGUAAAAAGUCAGAAGCUAAGCAAGGCCGGGCCAGGUUAGUAGCUGGAUGGGAGACUGCUGGGAUAUCCCAGGGCAGCUGUGGC
rnacentral:rRNA from 1 species